rnacentral:lncRNA from 1 species
GCUAAAUUCGACUUUUUAAAAUCUUUUUUUAAAAAAAUAAAAAAUUGGGCCCCUCAGCCCCAAUCCCUCCCCAAUUAUAAAAUAAGACAAUUUUUAUUGAAUAGUGUGGUUUGUUCUUGCUAGGGUUUGUUCAAAACGAUCCAUUUCAGGUUUAGUCAUUCUUGCUAGGGUUUGCUUGAAGACGAACGUGCGUUAUGGCUUUCCGUUUCGGAGGGUUCGUUUGUUUAUCCCUAAUUUCCUCUCAUAAUUUAUCCACCAUUUUUAUCGAAUUGAUUUCUCGUCUCAUGUUUUUUUCUUUAUGGUUUGAGUAGAAGACUUUGGGCUGCUGGUGCUCAUCGGGAAUUGCUUCGAGCUAUACAGACAGAUAUUAGGUUUAUAAAAAUCUGCCAAUUUUCCUUUCUAGCAGAAAUUUACCCCGUUCUUUUUUAGUUUUGAUUUUUGAUUUUAGUUUUUUCAGGGAAUAUUGCCAGCAAGUUCCAGCUCAUCGUGGUGAAUUUCUCGUCCAAAUUAUUUAAUUCUCGCUACAAAUUUCUGUUGUUACCGAUGAUUUUGGUCCUUGCAGUUAUAUUUUUUGCUGCCGGAGGAGCAUCAUCUUUUGCUUUCUGCCACGCUGUGUAUGUUCCUCAUUUAAACCAGAAAAUAUUGUUUCCUUUUUUUAAGCUUACUAAAUCAGUUCUCUUUGCUUUAAAAUGCCCUGUAUAAUGGUAGGAUAUAUUGUCUCUUUUCUUUUGAUUAAAAAGAAUCAAUCUUUUUAUCUUAGAAUAAUCCCUUUUAGUGUUUACUCAACUUGUUAUAUGAUUAAGUGGUAUUGGAGUCCCCGAGUUUAAUCUUGAUUUCUGCCUUGUAAUGAUCUCCUCUAUUUGCAGAAAUCUUUUAUUUCCUCUUAUGCUUAUUUCCGAAUUAAUUUUGGCAGGCUAGGCUCCAUGGUGAGGAAAGACAGGGAACGGUAAGUUGUACCACCUUGGUUGUUAUUUUCCUUCUUUUAUUGUUUUUUUGAGCGUGCAAACUGUCUCUUUUGCUUAACUUACCACACUUAUUGAUCCUAGUACAUGCUAAUUUAUUCUGCCGGUCAACAAGUAGUCCCUUUGUUCGCUUACUAUCUAUCGGUGGUAUCUCGUGGGUCCUUUAUUUAGCGGUCAACUGUAAAAUAUUAUUGCCACAAACCAGAAAAAAGUUUUGAGUACACCCAAAGACAAGAAUCAAUAAGACUAACACAAGAGCACCCAACUCCCUUAGCACCUUUUAGGAAGGGUGCAGUGAGAUUAGGUCUCAAGAAUAAGUACAAAUAUGCUCAAUUAAGUACUACAUUUUCUAGUUUGUUUAGACUCGCUAAACAUUGACACUCUUUCUCGAACAAUGAAUUGAAUCAGCUACAGUAUAAACUUUGUUGUACAGAGUGUGCUACCUGAAUAUUUUUUCAAUUCCUAGUUCGCCAGAUAAAGUAUAUCACUGCUCCAUAAAUUGCAAGCUACAGUAUCCUUUUUGAAUCUGCUCCGAUGUCUCGGUUUGAUCCACUGCAAGCUCUCCAUUGUCUCAGUUUGUGGUAGCAAAAAUCCCAACCAGGCAGUCACCUCUAUCCAAAUUGCAGAUGCUCAUUCAAAUGACACAAAUGGAUGACUGGAGUCUUCAAUAUAUUGCUGUACACAAACAACGCAGAAAGCAUUCGCACAAUGCACCUCCAUAUUCAUCAACCUACCCUUUGUUAGUAGCUUCUUGUGAGCUGAUAUCCAUAGUAUGAAUCUAUGUUUAGACUGUACUACCUUAGAGCAGAUAAGAUCCAGGCUCUAACAUGGUCAGAUAGCUCUUUGAGAUAGAGUACUAUCUCAGGGUCCAAAAUUAAUGGUGCUAGAUUAAGCUUGAGCUGAGCUGCCUGUGUUGGUAUCGGCAUUGCCUGAAUAACCUUCACCAGCAUCUUCUUGUCAAAGUUUUCUUUUUGGAAAAAAAUUCGUUCUUUUCUUUCCAGUAGAGGUCUUACCCAUCCUAUAGAUCUACCUCUCUGCUUGGCAUUUCCAAGUUGUCUUUUCUCACCUCUCUUAGAUUAUAGUCUUUAUAUACCAUUCUCAUGCUUCUCUCUUUUCCUGUUCAUCUCGUAUUUCUUUUCCACUUGUUACUGCCUUGACCUGAGGUUGUUGGCUUGGCUGGACACUUUGACAGGCCCCAACCUGCUUGUCUGAUUAUCUUUUUUCUACACUUUAAGGACGACACUUCUCAUUGUACCCUGCAUAAAGUGGAUGUUUGUUGAGUGCAUACAACAAAACAAAAGUCAACUAUGCUACAAUUUAGUUGAAACAACUAGCACGCCUCAGUCCCAAACAUAUGGGUUGGCUGUAGGAGCAUUCACUAACUUUUUUACUCCAAUUAAAUUGGAUGAUUUGCAUAAAUAUGAUCAUAUAGUGUCACUUUUUAAGUUUUGGCUCCAUUAAAAGAAGUUUAAUAGAAUUGAUCUCGCUAGAAAAGUCCAAAAAUCACAUUGGGUUGGCAGAUCCUCAUGAAUAGCCGUCAUAAAAUUCAUCAGAUUCACAGCUCAGCUCUGGAUGAUGGUUUUUUUUUUUUUUUUUUUUUUUUUUUUUUUAUUUAUUUAUUAAAGUUCAUUUUGCAUAACUUUUUAUAAUGGCACCUAAGCUUAACUAUCAUACGAAGGCUUCCUCGCGCCAAUUCCUGAAUUAAAUUCAUCUCCUUUCAACAUUACAUGAAAAAGGUGUUAUAAUUUCUCUACUGGCGGACGAAUCUAGGAGUUGUAUCUUUCAAUACGGAAGACAUGACUGUUGCUUUUAUGGAAUUCAGUAUUCGUGUGUAGGAGGACAGAGAUUUUUGAUAAGUUUUUGGUUUGAUAUCGACUUAUGUUUUGCAGCUUGUGAUUGAUGCAAUUGUUUUCGUUGUGCUUAAGAAAUGCACAUUUAAUUAUAUGUCAAUAUCUUAUGUAUCAGUUAAGAAGGUUAUUAUGCCUUGACAUCUAUAUUUCACUCUUAUUAUUGUCAUGCUAGUUUCAAGAAUCUAAUUCACUUUACUAUUUUCUUCGUCAGUGCUCGUGCUUUUUGCGAGGCGUGGAACAUUCCAACAAAUUGAGGAGCUGUUAAUUGUGUGGAGGUAUUUACGUGGAUGCAGACUUAAUUUUUAGGUCUCUAUUAAUAUAUAUAUAUACCUCCCACAUGUAUUUACGUGGAUGCUUAUAUUUUGGCUUGGCUCGACACUUUGACGGGCCCUAACCUGCUUGUCUAAUUAUCUUCCCCUAUACAUAUUAAGGAUUGUUUUCUUCUUCUUUUGUAUUUGGAAACAAGUACUUAUUGCACCCUCUGCUUAAAGUGAAUGUUAUUUAGUUCAAUACGACAAAACAAAAGCAAAGGGCGUCCUCAAGAUAUGUUUUGUUUUCAUAUAUAGCUAUACCAAUUACAAAUUCAUAUUUGCUC